UUUUGCAUCUCUCUACAAUACAGAUUCACUUUCACUCCAAAAUCUUCUUCCCCUUCAUUCUUCAAACUCAACGCACCAUAAGAUGUUCAAAAAGUACACUCUCUCAUUCAACACAGAUUCUCAUGUCAUUGCUUCUAUAUCAUUUUUUAUUUUAUUUAUUUAUUAUUUUCCUAUUAUUUUUUCGGAGUUUCAAUCAGCAAUUGCACCAUUGCCGGUGGUAAUGGAACAUAAACCCUAAUUCAAUGCCCAAUUUUUUAUGACACCUUUUUUGCCCCAAAUUGCUCAAUAAUUAUAUGC
rnacentral:lncRNA from 1 species